GACGAACCGUGCGAACGUUGUUCGGAAUCACUGGGCUUAAAGGGAGCGUAGGCGGGCUAUCAAGUCUGGGGUGAAAUGCCACGGCUCAACCGUGGAACUGCCUUAGAUACUGACGGCCUCGAGGGAGAUAGGGGCAUGCGGAACUGUAGGUGGAGCGGUGAAAAUGCGUUGAUAUCUACAGGAACUCCGGUGGCGAAAGCGGCGUGCUGGAUCUCUUCUGACGCUGAGGCUCGAAAGCUAGGGGAGCAAACGGG
rnacentral:rRNA from 1 species